CACACUUUAAAAAGGAUGGUUCAGGCUAGUCAGCUAUGGGAUGGCCCUGCGGUCGCAUUACUNGUUUGUAAGUAAACGGCUCUUACCAAGGCUAGUAUUGCCAUUAACCCGAAUUUGAAGAGAGAAUUGAAUUCCGCCAACCAUUUGGGANCCUGGAGAAACACCGGGCCCAAAUACUCCCUAANCGGGGAGGCCAGACCAGAUAGAGGGAAAUUCUUUNCCAACAGAAUGGGACCGCCAAGAUCCUUGAUUGGGANACCCAACCCCCGCCUUUGGAAUUGGAAAAGGAANGUUUUCCGGCUCCUAAAACUUCCUUGUUUGUUUGGAGAGAAAGANGUUCAGUAGUAAAGUCAAACUUGUCUCUUUACUAUUGACGGUAAUCCAACCAGAAAAGUCACGGCUAACUACUUGCCACAGCCGCGG
rnacentral:rRNA from 1 species